ensembl:lncRNA
CUCCACCUCAUGUUGUAGUUCCCUUCCCUAGAAUUGUAUGGAAGUUAGAACCUGUGAGGGUGUUUUGGUUCGGCCUGACGAGGCCUGUACCAAUUUCGGUGGUCAGCUUCGUAGUUUUGUGUAUAUAGAAAUUUGGAAAGGGGAGCAGUAUUAAGUUAUUUAUAAUAAAGUGAAAAGUUAUUUGUGAAUGAAGGGACAGAAGGAUCUUUUUGUGUGUGAGAGAUAGUUAUUAGGCCUUGUUCCAUGAUGGGGAGUUCAGGAUGUUGCAUUCCAGGCUUAUCUUUUAACAGUCCUAGGUGCUCCUUGACCCUAAGGGGAGAGAGGAAGAAUAAGAGAGAGAACACAUUUCACCCCCAUUUGUCGACCUACACCAUUAAGGCAGUACAGAGAGACACACUAACACACAGUACAGAGAAAGGAAAUAGAGAGUGUGUUCAACUGAAAGCGUGUGGUGGCCAUACGCCAUAAAAUUCCACAUAUCCAAGGAAUACAGGUAGAGCUCUGUUGAGUUUUCAGGCUUUGAUAAAUUUGUAGUUCCCCGUCUGCCAUGUUUGAAGUUCUCUGUAGUCUCUGUCCAUAGGUUUCACCUGAACAACCCCUCUGCUGGCCGAGAAAAGGAACUACCACUGGUUUCUCCCACACCCAGCCCCCGGAGCACGCGCGCUCUCAAGGCGUUAUGGCCGCACCCAACGUGGGAGGGAGACACGCAGAGAGAGAGAGAAGCCACAUUCCACCCUUAUCUGUUGUCUUGCACCAAACAGCACCCCGUACUGAGGAGGGAGAGAGAGCGUGUUCUCCUGAAGGAGGGAGAGAGUCACAGGGAGACACACAGUGGAUAUUCACAUUAUGGCUAAUUUGUUUAGUUUUAGUUUUGUUUUUUGUCUUCCUAGGACAACAGUUAUCAUUCAUGAUGAUGAACAUCGAAGUUCAUGAGGAGGUUAUAAGGACAAUAACGUUGAUACUGUUGUGUUCACAGCAGUUUGCUGUGUUUUUUCCACCUCCUGGGUCUGCCACUCCUCCUGUCUGUCUCACUUCACACCUGGACCUAUUCUGCAAUCAUGCUCACCUGGUCUUCAUCUCCAAUCAACUCCCCUUCAUAAACCCUUGGAUUCCCUGCUGUCGGUGCCAGAUCGUACUACGCACUACUGUGUUAUCCGGAUCCCUCACUCCAGCUCGCCUGCUUCGCUCCUUCCCCGGCAACCUCAUCCAAUACCCGCCUCCUCGCCUCGUUCAAUAAACCCUUUUUCCUUCAACUCAACUUCGUCUCCGUCUGCUCUUGGGUUCAGCAUCGUUUAACCAUAACAGAACGAUCUGGCCAAGAUGGACCCAGCGGACAUUGACAGCAUCCGUGGAGCUCUCGCCGCCCAGGGCGCUCUGGUUGCUGAGCACAGCAACGCCCUCCGGGAAGCUAUGGAAGCCUUUAAGAGUCUCGCUACCCGUGUCACACAGAUGGGCGCACAAUUGGACUUGCUGGUUCCCCCCGCCACUUUGCCUCCACUGCCUGUGGCGCCUCCGCCUGACCCCACUCUCUCGGCACACCUGCCACGGGCUCGUGAGCCUCUCAUUCCUGCCCCUGAGCGCUACGCUGGGGACAUGGGUACGUGCAGAGCUUUUUUGAUCCAGUGCUCCUUAGUUUUCAGUCAGCAGCCCCUCAGCUACCCCACUGAAAGAGCUAAGAUCGCUUUUGUUAUCGGGUCACUUAAGGGCAAUGCUUUAGCAUGGGCUUCAGCUUUAUGGGAAAGUGAUUCCCCAGUUAAUGAGAACUUUGGCCUUUUUGUAGCUGAAA